rnacentral:lncRNA from 1 species
ACCUGAACCUGGCACUGAUGUCGCUCUUCAAGCAACCUUUAGACUUAUCCUAAAAGGCGCUGUUAGUAAAACUGUGAUGCUAGAACCAAUUGAUCUUCCUGGAAUGAUUGUAAGUCACCAAGAACCAGACCAACCUCUUAUUGUUGUAGAUUCCUCCCUUGGCGGGCCUUCUUCAGUUUUUCUUGUGGUACCAGGCUUGGAUGGACGAAAUCAAACAAUAUCUUUACAAUCACAAAGCAAUAAAGAUUGUUACGUGUAUAGCGAUAUGAGCUCUGGUUCAGGAGUUAAGCUAAGGUGCAAGUCUGAUUCUGAAGCUAGUUUUAACCAAGCAGCAAGUUUCGUUUCCGGGAAAGGAUUAAGGCAAUACCAUCCUAUCAGCUUUGUGGCUAAAGGAGGAAACCAGAAUUUUCUUUUAGAGCCAUUGUUCAACUUUAGGGAUGAACACUAUACAGUUUAUUUCAACAUUCAAGGUUGAUACAAUAUAUGUUUAUUUCAACAUUCUAUUGAUUUGAAAUAAACAAUAUAUGUAAGUUUCACCUACAAAGUUCAAAUAAUCAAAAUUUAAUUUUAUAAAAAAAUGAAAUUUAAUUGUAGAAAGAUUAGUCGUUGAAUUUCUUCUACUAAGUGUUCUAAUCAACUUUAGGGUGGCAAAAUGAAAUGAUUGGAUAGUUUUGAGUUUUGAUUGUAAUGGACCGAUCAAAACUAUUCAUUUACAAUCCAAUAUAAAUUCUUAAAAAAUUUAAAUCCAAAUCCUAUCAUAUUUUCAAUGGAUGAAUAUUCAUCCAAAUCCAUGAAUCUAUAUAUUUUUUUAUAUUGGAAAAAAAAUUACAAUUUAUUUAAUUAUUUACUUAUUUAUUAAUAAUUGGAAGUGGUGGUAACCAGAGAGCUGCUGGCGGCCGACGCGGUUGUGGUCAGCAGUUGGCAUGGUGGUGAUCGCUAUCCUAUGUCUGGACUCUGGUGGUAGCAGGAGAUAUGCUAUUUUUCAAUUUUGUUUAAUAAAAAUACUUAAUUUUAAAAAUAAUUAUAAAUUUUAUUAUUUAUAUAAAAAAAAUUGGUACAACAUAUAGAGAUUAUUUAUUCCUAAAAAAAAGUUUUAUAACUAAAAAGGGUUUUUUUUUUUUUUUUUUUGAAAGAAAAAGGGUUAUUUCAUUAGUAUAUAUACCUUGAAUGAAGAUAGAAAAUGAAAGAAAAUCUAGAAAACAUAAUAAAAUUAAACAAAAUUGGAAUAGAAAGAAAACAUAAGAUGGAACAAGAUGUGAAUUGGGAUUUGGGAAGAACAUAUAAGAUUGCCACAUUAUUUGAAGAAUAUUAAAUAAGAUCAAAUGUAGAUCCAUCACAAGAAUAAAGUUGUUCUUGAAAAGGAUAAAGAAUUAGUUCAUCUAAGAACCUAGGGAGUAAAACUAACUCUUAUAUGUCAAAACUCAUGCAUAGUGCAUUAAUUCUCCAUAUAAAGAGGUAACAAAAUUACUAUUUAUAGCAACACCUAUAAAGGACACGACCGAUUGUACUAUAAGCCUAAUUAAGAAAAUGAAGGCUCGUGGUCAGUGGUCACACACUAUAAAAAUAAAGAGCGUUAUAGAACUCCAUAAGAAAAUAAUCUAAAUGUUUACCUAAAUAUUAUUACAAUUAAAAUUUCCUUGACGAAAUAUUAACACAUUGGUCCUCGUUAUAAUACUAACAUAGCGGAAAAAGCAACUAAGAGGUUAAAGAGGACAAUUUGCAUUUUAGGAUCUCGGUCCAAGCCAUUAACGAACAUCAAUACUAAUAGAUAAUGAAAACACAAUCAUCUUUUAAAGGUUCGGAGACAAACGGAUAAAGAUUUUGAAAUACAACCAAGAUAGUGCACAAUGAACAAAUCCUCAAAAGCUUGUUGCAUUUAAAUUACACCUAGCCAAAAAAGACAAAAAAUGCCCUCCACCUCAAUUUUGAAACCACCCACAAAUCUUAGCUAGAUAAUAUCCACACAAUCCCAAAGCAAAUAAUACCAUAGCACAAUACCAUCCAAAUUGUUGCAAACCUAACACACUGCUAUGAUAAGACACAACCGAGACAAAUAAAAUCUGAGCUGAAUUAGAUGGUAUGAAUUAAGUCACCUGUGCACUUUAAAAUCACCAGAACAAUCUGAAUUUUCAAACCGUAAUAUCGUCAAGGAAAACCCGCGGAUUCAAACACCACUGCACAAUGUUGUAAUUAUUGAUAUUUAAUUUAAUACGCAACCAGUUCCAAGAAUAAACUUUCAUCUCCUCGUGCAUUUUUUUUUUGUGCCUUUAUUUGUUGGGAAAUAGUUUCUUGUUUCUUGUCUUUCAAAUGUUCCACACACAUGUGAACCAAACUACAUUGACACGCUUUGAGAAUGCUCUUCUUCUACCUAGUAGACCUUCCUUCCUUUUGAAAAGCCGAAGAGAUCCCAAAUCACGAACAUAUAUUGUACCAUAAACCUAGAAAAACAAUACACUAAAAAAAUAGACGACAUACCGAUUCUUCAAACCCACACUCUCCAACACAUUGUAAAGAUCCCUGGCCAAUUGCACCUCUUUUGAAAAGAUUAUGUUUUGUAGCAACUUUAUUUUGAAACAAUCUCCACACCAAACAUGAGACUUUUUGAUGUGAUGGAUUUGUGCCACACCUUUGCCCAUAAAUGAUUAGAAAAAUUUCGAAUUUCAAACAUAAGCACCCUACAAGCCUUUUUUACCGAGUAUGAAUUUGAUGACUCCGUACCACCUAUAUCUAACUGAAAGAUAUCCUUCCACCAAGUGGAACUUCCUCUACCCCAUACAGUAAUAGAUUCAUCCCUUAUUCCAUACUUAUUUACCAAGAUUCUAUACAACAUACCACUUCUUUCAUUACUAAUUUUCCACCACCAUUUUCUUAAAAGUGCAAGAUUAAAAACCCUCAAGUUUCUAAUUCCCAAUCAAGCACCCCCCCUCUCCUCUCUUUAAGGCCUUUAUCUCAUUUUAUUUUCCUCGCAUCCCCAUAAAAAUUGUCGCAAAAGAUAUUAUAGUUUAGAGAUGAUAUGUGUGACCUUGAAGAAGAGAGAAAGUAGACUGAAAUAACAGACAAGACAGUAGACUGAAAUAACAGACAAGACUAAUUUUAUUAGAACCACACGACAUCCGAUGGAUAACCAUUUAUUUUUCCAUUUUGACAACCUAGAUCUUACCACCUAUAUCACCUUCAUAUUAUAUUUGUUCGGUUGGGUACUUGAGCUUGGUGCAAUGAGAUAACAACACUUCAAUUGUGGAUAUCAAGUAAGGGAUCUAAGAUGGCUAUCAAAAAAUUCAAAAUCCUUCAGUUUUACAAAUGAUUGGUCAGCAUGUAAUUUGAUUAGUCAUCUCAAACGCACUUAUAGUCGGUUUGAGAGAUCAUUUUUUUUUUUUUUUGUGUUGGGAUGUGUUUAAAUAUUGGAGAUCUCGUAUUAUUAUUGAUUGUUGGCCAUAUGUAGAAGAAAUUAGUUUGGUUGUUAGAAUUAGAUUUUUGGUUUGUUAUGGAUUUUAAUAUUUCAUUAUGUAUCUUUAGCACCUUAGUAGUAAUAUCAAAAUACGGAUGAGGAAUAUCCCAAAUCAUGAUCAUUUUAAUUGUAUUGUCAUAAUUUUAGCAUUUGAAUGAAUGAAACUUAUUUUGGUGUAAAAAAUUAUGACUUACAAAAUAUAAUAAUUUAGACUCUACAAUAUAUUAAUUUACUCUUUUUUUUUGCUUGUUUAAUUUACUUUAAUAUAUAUUAUUUAAGUAUGUGUACAAAAUGAUGUGGUUAUUGACGAUGGUCUUUGAUCAUUCCUCACCGCUCUAACAUUCAAGUCAUCGAGGUCUUAAAGGUGUUUGGAGGAAUAUCAUGGAAUGAAAAUUAUGUACAUGUUUUCAUGGUGAGGUUCUCUUUUCGUUGAUUCCUAGAAGUUACAAGAGCAUACAUCUUAAGGGUAAUACCUUGAUGGCGUAGAGGGUUCAUAGGGGCUCUAAACACUUUAUUAAGUGCUUAGGGACAUUUUUAUUGUGCACAUGAUAGUCAAAUUCCAUGAGAUGUCUCAUCAAGGUUAGGUUUGUCUUCCGUUGUAGACUUUAGGUUAGAUGGUUGAGCCUCAGUAUAGUUUCAUUAAGGUAUUAUUGCCACACUUAAAAUGCAUUUAACACGUCAUUUUAAUAAGAAAUAAAAACUUAAAAAAUAAAAAUAAAAAAACAAAAAAUCUUUUUUAUAAACCCAAAAAUUAUAUAAAAUAAUUAAAAAAUUCUCCAACUUAAUAUAUUCCGUAAUUUUUGAAAGAUUAUAAAAAAAAAUUCAACAAAAAUUCCCGAUUAAUUUUAAAUUAUAAAAAAAGCAAAAAAAAAAAAGUAUUAUCUAAUUUUUUUUUAUUUUGAAAAUUAAGUUAUAGAAUUUUUUCUUUUAAAAUUUUUUGUAAAAUCUGAAUUCUGGAACAAUAUUUCAAGAUUUUAUAAAAAUUCUAGUAUAAAAUUUUCGAAAAAAAAAAUAUGAAUGGUUGUGUUGUAGACAUGUGGUGACCAUAGGUUUCCCCGAGGUUGUCUGUAUCCUAGCUAGGAUUAGGUAGAACUCACUGAGACAUUAUUUAUCAUCCCAAUCCUUAUUUGUUUCAGAUCAGCAGGUUGGUUUAGUAGGAUAUAGCAACACGUGACCGAAUGGAUACUCAGCAAGUGCUCAUUCGUACCGGUUGCAGGACUUUUUUAUGGAUUCAAGUGUGUAUAUCCUAUAUAUCGAAUGUGUAGUGUUGUAUCAUUAGUUGUACGAACAUGAUUUGUUGUGUUUAUUUAUCCAUUCAAAGAUUCAUGUUGUAAAAAAUUUAAUGUAUCCAGUACUAAAGAUAAUGCACAUACUAAACUUUCUACAUACGUUUAGUUUGGGCGUUACAAAAAAAAAAAAAAAUGACCUGUCAGUGCCACGUCAUAGAUUUUGCUGAGUCAAAGGGGCAAUUUUGAAUAAUCUUUAUUUUACAAUGACCGAAUCCAAUUUUUUUUUUUUUUUUUUACAGGGAACAAACCUAACAAUGCUCUAUAUUACAGGGGGGUAAAACACUAUUAACCCUAUAUAUUAUGAAAGGCUAGCUAGGAAAUAAAUAACAAUGGGCGGUUGGUAAACAAUAAUUACAAGCAAUAUUUUUUAUGUAAGAUUUGUUGUAUGAACUAAAGGGACAAACAUGAUGCAUAAAUGCAUUUUAGUGACAUCUAAUAAUUAUUUUAGUUUUGAUGAAGAGUUUCUUAUGGCAAAAAAAAUAUUAAAAACUAUUGCAUUGAUGUAAACAUUCCAUGGGUUUUUUUGUUAUAUAAAGUGUUCAAGUAAUUAUACAUUUGCUAUCUGCAAAAGUGAAAAUAAAAUGGCUGAAAUUCUCAAGUUUGUUUAUAUUGUGAUCCUAUUUAUUUCCAUAUUACUUGUUGUAGAAACCGGUGAGACUAAGUUCAUUCUCAUUUUUUUUUAUCUUAUACAAAAUUUCUCAAUAAUUUUUAUUAAUAUUUCAUUAUUCUUAUUGUACAUUACAGAACAAUGUGUUUAUGAUGCCGAUUGUGAAAAAAUAUACCCGCUUCAUCGUCAACAUUUAUUUAAGUGCAUAAAGGCAUUUUGUGUGAGGUUAGGUCGCCAAAGUAAAAAUUAUUUUUCUAUUAUGUAUAAGACUUUUAUUUUCUUUGCUUGUUAUGCUUUUACUCUUAUAAUUUGUCUCAAAGUUUCACAUGCAUAGAAAUCUCUUUGAUAGCUAUAGAAGCAUGUUAAAUAUAUAUUUUAGAAGGAAUACAAAUAUAUAUUUCUUCAUUUAAAACACCUAGUAAGAGGUACUAAAACAAUAAUAAAAUAAAAUCUAAAACAUUAUAAUGGAGAAUCGGAUUAUAUUACGAAAAUUUUGUUAUCUUUGUUUCCUUGUGAAUGAUAUAGAUAUGGUAAGGAGAAAUAUGACCAAAGGUGCUUAAUAUAUAAUCUAAGAAAAUUAGAAUUGAGUAAUUAGUCUUAAGAGAGGAGAGUAAAAUGUCGAGUUUUACACUUUAGUGUAUUAUCUUGAGGAUGUCUUUGUACAACUACCCUCUAAUCACUCAAUCGUAUUAUCUUUGUGAGAGUGUGGAUGCCCAAUAGUUUUAGCUUGACUAAGGUUUCUUGAUUAUGGAAUUCAGCUAAGAGUAUGCUUGCUUUAGCACAAGAAUUUUAUGAAAAUUGUUGUUUACAAUUCAAACAGGGCUAAAACAUACCAGAAAAAGACGUAAAUGUCCAUCGCCAGUUAACUGCCGCCAGUUAAAAUCCAUCGGCAGUUAACUACCGAUGAUGUUAUGUUGAUAAAUUACUAGUGUUUCCUAGAAUUGAUUGAAGUGUGAAGAACAUUCUUCGACUUUUAUUUAUUGAUCCACUUGUGUGCUUUGCAAGUCAAGCAAAGUCCAAUAACCCAUUUGUUGGUUUUGCUAACCAAUUAGCACCAUAUACUAAAUGCACCCACAUAUAAUAAGUCUCACUUAUAUAUCUCAUUUAUUUGUUCCUUUGUGUGUGACCAUGUAGGUUCUUGUAACAUUGAUAAUACUAAUAAAUUUUAUAUUUAAUAUUAUAAAUAAUGACUGGUAUCUAGCAACACAUCACCACUAUACAAUUGACAAUAUGUCAUGUGAUCUGACAGGGAAAAAUAAUUCAUGUCUAAAAAAUAAUCCAUAAGAGGGAGAUACUUAUUUCUAGUAGAGUAUCUUGCCAAUAUGGUGCUUGAUACUAAUACUUAUCAAUAAAUAUGAGUUAAUAUUUGAUUGGUUUUUAGUCUUGGUGGGAGAUUGUUUAAGUAAGCCCGAAUAACCAAUCUAUAUUGAUUGAAUUUGGUUUUGUAUCAUGAUAUAUAUAUAUAUAUAUAUAUAUAUAUAUAUAUAUAUAUAUAUAUAUAUAUAAAAUAAGGCAUUUUUUUUUAUUGACUUUGUCGUUUUAAAAGAACAUUAAGUGUGACUCAAUCGCGAGACCUCAUUGAACUAAAUGACAUUAUUUUUAAAGUAUCCGCAGUCAAAAUAUUUAAUAUGAAAUGGAAUAGUAGUAAGGAAUAUAGUCUAUUAUGUGGGUAGACUGAUAAUCACAUCUUACAGAUCUUGGAUAAAGAGAUAUUAAGUCUUCACAUAGAUAUAAAUACGGUUAAUAAGUUUUUACCUCCUGCAAUAUAGGUCACUUUUGGUUUUACCCCCUGUAAAAAAAAAUUGUCAGAUUCCGUCCUUGUAAAUUUUUUUGUUUUGGAAUACCCCCUAGGACAGCUGACUGUAUAAUUUUUAUUAUUUUUUAUUGUGUACACAUGACAUUUGUGAUUUUUUUUUUAAAAAACGAAAAAAAUUAAUAAAAAUGAAAAAAAAAAUACCGGAAAAAUAAAAAAUUUAUGGAAAAUUUAAUAAAAAUGAUUAUAAAAAAAAUCAGGUAAAAUGAAAAAAUUCUAGAAAAUAAAAUGAAAAAAAAUCUGUAAAAAUUUUAAAAAAAUAUGGAAAAGAUUAAUAUAUAUCGAAAUUGUCGAAAAAAUUAUAAAAAAAAUCUGAAUUAAGUUCCUGAAAUAUUUUAAAUUCCUGAAUUUUUUCUUUUUUAUAAAAAUUCUAAUAAAAAAUAACACUUCUUAUGAAAAUUUCAGGAACUUAAACUAUUUCGAAUUUAUUUAAAAUAAUAAGAAAAUAUAUUUUGAAAAAAAUUCAAAUUUUUUUUUCAGGAACCUGAUCUUUUUUAGAAUUUUUCAGGAACUUAAUUAAGAUUUUUUUUUAUAAUUUUUUCGAAAAUUUCGAUACAUAUUAAUUAUUCCAGUUUUUUUUUUCAUUAUUUUUCAUUUUAUGAGAUUUUUUUAAUUUUUCCGGUAUUUUUUCAGAUUUUUUUCAUUAUUUUUCAAGAAUUUUUUUUAUUUUUUUAAAAAAAUCACAAAUGUCACGGGUGCAAAAAAAAAAAUAUAUACAGUCAGCGCGCCACGUUAUUAGAAAAAGAUGACUCAGCGUGCCACAUCAGCUGGCCUAGGGGGAUAUUCCAAAACAAAAAAAAAAAAUUACAAGGUUGAAAUCUGACAAAAAAAUUUUACAUGGGGGAAAACCAAAAGUGACCUAUAUUGCAGGGGGUAAAGGCCUAUUAACCCAUAUUAAUAUUAUGAGUUAUAUUUAUAUUGGAAUGACUUACCAUAAUAUGCUACCUAGAAUGUUAUGUAAGUGUCACAAAUUAUUGUCAUAAUGAUAAGUCUUGUAUUCCACCCUUCGACCUAAAACCACUGUGUACCCUAGAUGUAGGAGUCAAAUACUUUGAUGUCGUUCAAACAUUGUCUGUAAUUGAAAAUUUAUAAAGCCGGUUGAUGGGUACUCCGCAAAUCAUGACGAGGGACAUGAGUGACCUAUAUAGAAUUUGCCCCUCCUACACAACAGGAUAAAUGUCUAAGGGCCCAAUAUUUAAUUGGAAAAGGGUGACCCGCUAUGUCUUGUGUUCAACACAAACAUGAGAGAUAAAAUGGUAAUCAUACACAAGAUCAUUAUUACAGAAAAGGUUUCUUCAGAUCACAUGACAUUUUUGUCACUUGGAUAGCAGUGAUGUGUUGUUAGAUACCACUCACUGUUUAUAAUAUUAAAUGUUUGAUUUAAUAUUAUUUCCAAUAUUACAAGAAUUUACAAGGUCACACACAAAAUGAUAGUUAAAUAAAAGGUAAAUGCGAGACUUAUUGACUAAUUAGUUAGUGAAGCCAACAAAUGAGUUAUUGAGCUUAUGUAAGUUUAGUAGUGACUCAUUGACUAUCAGAGCACAUAAGUGAUUGUAUAAAUAUAACUCUUGUCCUAAACCAAGAGUACACUAAAACUGAAUUCCACAAUUCAUAAAUCAUAAAAUCAUCCCUCUUUCUCUAAACCUUGAUUCAAAUAAGCUAGCAUUGAAUGAAUAAUAUGUUAUUAUGGACUGAGUAGAGGUUUUUCCAAUUGAGCAAUGCUUGUGAUCGCUAGUAAAUUUGACAUAAAAGGAACUACACUACAAGAAGUAAUACUUCGAUCCCUGAUCAUGUUGAUUCUUCGUAAGGAUCCAUUGAAAGAAAAAUUAUUUUAUUUUAUCUGCUGCAUAUAUUUUAUUUUGUUAUAAGAUAUCCCUUCAGUGGUAUAAGAGUCACUACAACCCAAGUUGCGAUUUUUUUAGUAUAAAAAACUUUUAAUUAAUUUCCACAAUAAAUAUUUUUAAAUUUGGCUGUCACAUUAAUGGUAUAGGAGGCAGGCCCGUUUGUCAGACUGUUAUGUAGGGGUGGCAAUAGGAUCCAUGAGAUCCAUAUCCAUCCAAUUCAUCCACUAUAAAAUUCAUCUAAUCCAUCCACCAAACAAAAAGUUUGUUAAUGUAUUGGUUUGAAAUCCAUCCAUCAAAGACUAUGGAUGGAUUGAGUCCAUCCACCAAUUUUUGAAAUCCAAUGGAUCACCUCUUUAAAAAAGAAAAAAAAAAUCAAUGGAUUACUUCAAAUAAUAUUUAAUUUUUUAUUUAAAUAAAUAUAUAUUUGAUAAAAUAAAAAAAAUUAAUUAAAAAAAUAAUUUAGGAAAAAAACUGACGGAAAAAAAAUAAUUUUUUUUUUUAAUAUUUAAAAAUUAUUAAUAUAAUAUAUUAUUAAAAUAUUAUUUAAUAGUAUUUAUUAAGGGUGACGGUCAACGCCGGAGCUUGACCGGUCAACACCGGAGCUCCGCUGUGAACAACCGUGAGACGGUGGUGGACCACUGUUGGUCGCCGAAAAAAUGGCCGGUCUCCGCCAUGCACCGCCGUGGGGGUUGCGGACUGGCCACGGUGGUCAACACCGGUGGCUGUCAGUUGACCACCACCACCAUAUUAUUUUAAGUUAUUUAAUUAAUACUAUUUAAUAUUUCUGAAUUUUUAAAUUAUGUGGCCUUAUGACAAAAACCUUAUUGGGCUAAAGAAAAAAAAGUAUUGGGCUUGCUUAUAUAAAAUUUAUUUGCAUUGAAUUUACUAAACAAAGCUGAUUAAUAAAUAAUACACCCCUUCAAACAAAAUAAUACACUUUGAUUUAUGAAUCGGAUGGAUUAUCCAUCCAAUAAAAUUUAAUAAUGGAUGGAUUGGAUGGACAUAAUACUUAAUGGAUGGAUUGGAUGGUUUUUUUUAACAAAAAAAAAUAGUGGAUUGUAAUGGACUAAUGGACCUUUUUUGAUCCAUCCAUUAAGAUCCAAAUUCAUAACCAUCCAAUCCAUCCAUUUUGCCACCCCUAUUGUUAUGUGACCUGUGUCUACCAUAUUUGGUUAAUAAGUGCGUUCCAUGUAAUUUCUUAAUAUUAUGAAAUAAUUUUCAUAUAAUAGUUGUGUAGUUACGUGAGAUGGUUGUUGUUAAAUGUUUUCCCGUUGUUGUAUAUCCUAUGCGACAUUAUUUAGAAACCAAGUGAAUUAUCGAACACUUUGAAUGAAUCAUUGUAACAACAUUCAUUUUUCUUUUCUAUAAAUAAUUUUGAAUACAAUUUAUUAGAAGUAAUUUUGGGUAAUGGUUAAGUUAGGAACUUAUAAGGAGUAAAAUUGUGGCCCAUUUAGUGAUAAGAGUGGUUGUCUCUUGGAAAUAAUCUUCAAGGUUAAGUAGGAUCUUCCCACCAGAACUCACACUCACCUACACAUACAACAACGCAAUCACCCAAUCAGACAUAGAUAAACUCGCAAGUGUGUGAUUUUACCGCUUAAUUAAAAGAUAUUGAUCCCACAUGAACUUUCGAGUAUCGAAAGUGUCUUCCUAAGAUGUUUAGCUAUAAAAGUUUUGAUUGUUUUGGAAAAAUAUGCAAUUUAUAAAAGAACUUUGGAAUGAUUGGGUUUCACCACAAUGAUGAACAAAUGAAAUCCCAAUCCCUUCUGUUGCUAUGGAGAAUCAAUGUCUAAAGGUUAGGUAAUUCUAAGGUAAGUAAUGGCCUCUUACAAGGAUACAAAAAUGUAUUCUAUUUGGCAAGAUCAUAAAGCUAAUUUAUAGCUUAUACGUUCAUAUGAUUAAAAAAGUCUUGUUUCUGUCCCCGUAAACUUAACUCAAUUGGUAGGAACAUUGCAUAAUUUAUGCAGGGGUCGGAGUUCGAACCCUGGACACUCACUUCUCCACAUUUAAUUGUGCGAACUCUAGCCACUAAUCUACUAGAUCAAAAAAAAAAAAAAGUCUUGUUUCUUAAAUGACAUUUCUUCACAAAAUUAUAGCUUAUCUUACUACCUUAUAAUUUAUUUUUUAGACGCUGUUUCAAUUUACGUUUGAGCUUAUAACUUACUACCUCCGGUCCUAUUUAUAAGAGAAAUUUAGGUCAACAAAAGUGAAUGUAUUUGGACUGAAUUUUUAACUAGAUACAUUAACUUUUGUUGACCCAAAAUUCUCUUAUAAAUAGGAUCGGAGGGAGUAUAACUUAUCAUCUUUUGUCUCACUUUUACCAUCAUCACUUUAACUAAAGUCCAUUUUUACCCUUAGUAAUAAAUAGCUACAUUUAAGAAAGAAAUGUUAGGUUUAAUUAAACUUAAACUUCAGAUUUCAAUGUCUAGUAAUUAAUAAAAGUUACGUUUACUUAACAAUGAAUGUUCGUUUAAGAAGCAUUCAAAAAAAUGUUACGUUUAAGAAGAAAAAAGAAUAUAGUUAUGUUUAAGAAAAGAAAAAGUCUUGUCAUAAUUAACUUUGUUUUGUUUAAUUUUUUAUAAGGUAUAAAAACUGAAAUAAAAUAAAUUUAAAAUAAGAUUUCAGGAAAUUUCUUCAUUUAAAAAAAAAUGAAAGACAUGUUAAAUUAAUAAAUUUAAAUCAUCAAAUUUUAAAUAUCUUAAAUAUGAAUAGAUAUAUAUUAUAUUAAAAAUUACAAAUUUUCUUUUAUGCCAUUUUACAUUAAUUAGUUGGUUGAACCACUAAAUUUAUCAAACAAUUUUAUUAGUUUAUCAGUCAUCAAUCAACGGCCAUCAACCAUAAGCAAUCAAUCAUCAGCUAUAAGAUAUAAAAUAAAAAUAAUUUUUAUAAUUAAAAAUGGUUGUUAUAUGUAUUUCAUGCUAUAUGUAUUUAGUAACACGAUUUAGGAUAAUAUUUAAAUAUAUUGUUAUAUUGAUAGAUUCAUGGUACUCAGCUAAGAGGGUGAUAUGAUGAUAUUGAUGGAGAAGGUGAGAUUGUGCUCGAAUAAUCGAGGUAGCGAUAUGUGAAAUUUAUGAUAAUUGAGAGAUUUAUAUAGUUUGCAUCAUUGUUGUAAUACCACUUCCAUGUGGUAUGGGAUACACGAGGUCAAUCAUCCUAACCGAACACUAACUGUGUGUUUGUAUGAGGAAUGUUUUGAGGGAAUUUAAGUACUUUGAUGUGAAAUUUUGAAUAAUAAUUUGAAGAAUUUUUAAAAUGAUAGAAAUUUAUGAAAUAUUUUGUUCAAGUUAAAUUUAAAGAAUUUCAAAUGACACCUAAAAGUUAAGAAUUUCAAAAUUCUUCAUUCUUAUAAAUUUUCAAAUUUUCCAAAAUUUUCAAUUUGACAUUUGUAAAUUUAUAAAAAUUGCAAAUUGACCCCUCAAAUUUUCCAAAAAUUAUAAUUUGACCCCUCAAUUUUUUGAAAUUUUCAAAUUAACCCCUAAUUCAUUUUUCAAAUUUGACCCAAAAAAAUAAAAUUUAUAAAAGUUGCCCAAAAAUGAUGACAAUAUAUAUUUUUUAUUACUUCAUCCAAACAAUAACAUUUAAAAAUGAAAGCAAUUGAAUUGAAUCAUUUGAAUUCCCUAAAAUUCUAAAUUCUUCAAAAUUUUUCAAUUACCCCAUCCAAACACACUCUAAGAUAUAAUUAUAUUCACAGGGAUGGAAUGUCUCUAAGGAUUAGGUCAUUCUAUCCGAUUAUUGGUUGGAUGACGCUUUCUAAGGAUUAGGAUCGAUUGUUUCAACAUAUAGUCAAAGUUGCAUAAUUUGAGUGAUUUUGUGGUUGCUAUGAUUGCUUGCUUGUAUGUGUGUGGCAUGUUAUUUUACAUUUCUAUCCCACUUUAUGUAUUUUUCCUUAUGUAUUGAUUACAUAUGUUUUAGAUCAAGUUGAGGAGGUGCAUGUAGCAAAGGAUGGUGUAUUCCCUUCCACCGUUCAUGCAGCUGACGCCACAGGUGUCGACGCAAAGGGACGUAAAGACUUGUCUUAAGGAUGAUUGUAUUAAAUGAUACUCCCUCCGUUUCAUAAUACUUGUCCAUUUUAGAGAAUAAUUUUGUUUCACAAUACUUGUCCCUUUCAAGUUUCAAUGCAACAUUAAUUAUUGUCUUGUCAAUAAUACCCUUGCAUAUUUAUUGUAGAGAGAGAAAAAAAUAAAAUGAAAUAAUAAAUGAUUAAGGGUAUUAUAGAAAACACACACAUAUUUUCAUCAAAAAUAACAAAAUUUAUUUGGUUUCUUGGUUAGUGCAAUUUCUCCAAAAUGGACAUGUAUUUUGAAACGGAUGGAGUAUUUGAUAACUUUUAUCACGUGGAAUCUUGGCUCGGAUCCACAAACAUGCUUGAUGCUUAAAAUAAGAUGCAUUUCAAAUAUAUUUGUAUGCUUAUGUUCAUGUUUUAAAUUAAUUCGUAUUUUAAAUUUCUUCUUCUGCUUAUCUUCUAGAUGUUAGCUUUUGUAUUUCAAACGAAGUGUCUGGUGGAAACCAUAAUUUUCUUUGUGGUUAAAGUAAGCAACAAGUGUCUCCUUGUUUCCCAAAGGAUAUAUGUAUUAAAAUAUGAGACAUCUUAUCAACUUUGUGGCUAAAGGAGGAAACCAUAAUUUUCUUUUUAGAGCCAUUGUUUAACUUCAAGAAUGAGCACAAUACAGUUUAACUGCUGGCGGCCGACACGGUUGUGGUCAGCAGCUGGCGUGGUGGUGAUUGAUCACUAUCCUAUGUCUGGUGGUGGCAGGAGUUAUAUAUCUUCUGAUUGAAUUAGUUUUACUUCAAAAAAAAUCUAAGUACCUAGUGGAGUAAAACUAAUUCAUAAUUCAAUCAGAUAUUGAAUGUCAAAAUGAAUAAUGCAUUAACUGUCCAUAUAAAAAAGAUAACAAUUAUUAUUUAUACCAACACCUAUAAAGGACAUGACCCAUUGUACAGUGUACUAUAAGGCUAAUUAAGAAAAUGAAGGCUCAUGGUAACACACUGAAAAUAAAAUAGCAUUAUACAACUCCAAAAGAAAACAAUCUAAAUGAUUAGCUAAAUAUUAUGACAUUUAAAAUUCCUCGACCAAAUAUUAACACAUUGAUCCUCGUUAUAAUACUAACAUAACGGAAAAAGCAACUACCAGACCUAUAAAUAAAAAAUAUUUGAGAUUACUAAGGAGAUUGAUCCAGAAACAAGCCAAAGAAGACAAUUUGCAUCUUAGGAUCUCGGUCCAAAUCAUUAACAAGCAUCUAUACAAAUAGAAAAUGAAAACAAAAACGUCUUCUAUAAACCCGGAGAUAAACAAACAAGGAAUUUUAGAUAGCACACAAUGAACAAAUCCUCAAAAACUUGUUGCAUUUGAAUUACACAUAGCCGAAAAAGACAAACAAAAAAUUCCCUCCACUUCAAUUUUAAAACCACCCAAAUCGACCACAAAUCUGAGCGAUAUAAUAUCCAUACUCCAUCGAAUUCUAUCAGAACUUGCUAAUAAUAUGCACACAAUCCCAAAGCCAAAAAAAAAUAAAAAAAUACCAGAGCACAGUACCACCCAAACUGCUGCAAACCUAACACACUGCUACGAUAAAGACACAACCGAGACAAAUAAAAUCUGAGUUGAAUUAGAGGGUAUGAAUUAAGUCAAUUAUGCACUUCAAAAUCACCAGAACCAUCUAAAUUUUCAAAAUGUAAUAUUGUCAAGGCAAGCAAACGGACUCAAACACGACUGCACAAUAUUGUAAUCGUGAAUAUUUGAUUUAAUCCACAACCAGUUCCAAGAAUAAACUUUCAUCUCCUCAAGCAUUUUUUCUAUGUGACUUUUUUUAUUGUGAAAUAGUUUCUUGUUUCUAGUCUUCCAAAUGCUCCACACACAGGAGAACCAAACUACACUGACACGCUUUGAGAAUGCUCUUCCGCUACCUAGUAGACCUUCCUUCCUUUUGAAAAGCCGAAGAGAUCCCAAAUCACGAACAUAUAUAGUACCAUAAACCUAGAAAAACAAGACACUAAAAAAAAUAGAUGACAUACUGAUUCUUCGAACCCACACUCUCCAACACAUUGUAAAGAUCCCUCACCAGUUGCAACUCUUUUGAAAAGAUUAUGUUUUAGUAGCAACUCUAUUUUGAAAUAAUCUCCGCUCAAAACAUGAGACUUUUGAUGUGAUUGCUUUUUGCAACGCCUUUGCUCAUAAUAGAUUAGAAAAAUUUCGAAUUUCAAACAUAAACACCCUAUAAGCCUCUUUUACCGAGUAUAAAUUUGAGGACUCCUUAGAACCUAUAUCUAACUAAAAGAUGUCUUUUCACCAAGUGGAACUUCCUCUACCCCAUAUAGUAAUAGAUUCAUCCCUUAUUCCAUACAUAUUUACCAAAGUUAUAUACCACAUACCACUUCUUUCAUUACUAAUUUUCCACCGCCAUUUUCUUAAAAGUGCAAGAUUAAAAACCCUGAAGUUUCUAAUUCCCAAUCCCCCCUCCUCUUCGAGGCCUUUAUCCCAUUCUAUUUUCCUCUCAUGUCCCACCCCCCAUAAAAGUUGUCACAAAAGAUAUUAUAGUUUAGAGAUGAUAUAUGUCGGACCCUUGAAGAAAGAGAGAAAGUAGACUGGAAUAACAAUCAAGACUAAUUUUAUUACAACCACACGACCUCCGACGGAUAACUGUUUAUUUUCCAUUUUGACAACCUAGUUCUUACCACCUAUAUCACCUUCAUAUUAUAUUUGUGGGGUUGGGUGCUUUAGCUUCGUGCAAUGAGAUAACGCCACUUCAAUUGUGGAUACCGCGUAUGGGAUCUAAGAUGGCUAUCAAAAAAUUCAAAAUCCUUCAAUUUUACAAAUGAUUUGUUAGUAUGUAAUUUGAUUAGACAUCUCAAAAGCACUUAUAGACAAUUUGAGAGAUCAAAUUUUUUUGUUGGGAUGUGUUUAAAUAUAUUGUAGAUCUCAAAUUAUUAUUGAUCGUUGACCAUAUGUAGAAGAAAAUUUGUUUGGUUGUUAGAAUUAGGUUUUUGGUUUGUUAUGGAUUUUAAAAUUUCAGUAGGUAUCUUUAGCAUGUUAGUAAUAAUCUCAAAAUACGGAUGAGGAAUGUCCCAAAUCACGAUCCUUUUAAUUGUAUCGUCAUAAUCUUAGCAUUUAAAUGAAUGAAGCUUAUUUUGGUGUAAAAAAUCGUGACGUACAAAAUAUAAUAAUCCAGGCUCUACAAUAUAUUAAUUCACUUUUUUGUUGUUGUUUAAUAUACUUUAACAUUUAUUAUUUAAGUAUGUAUACAAAAUGAUGUGGUUAUUAACGAUGGUCGUUGAUCAUUCCUCCUGAUACUCUUAACACUCAAGUCACCAAGGUCUUAAUAUGAUUGAAGGAAUAUCUUAAAAUUAAAAUUAUGUACAUGUUUUUAAGGUGAGAUUUUCCACUCAUUGAUUCCUAGAAGUUACAAGAGGGUAAUACCCUGAUGGCAUAGAGGGUUCACAUGGGCUCUAAACACUUUAUUAAGUGCUAAGGGGGAUUUUUAUUAUGCACAUGAUAGUCAGAUUCCUUGAGUUGCCUCAUCAAGGUUUCUCUUCCUUUGUAGACUUUAGGUUAGAGGGUUGAACCUCAAUCUAGUUUCAUUAAGGUAUUAUUCUUACAAAUAAUUUUUACACUGCUCUAUACUAUUAUUUAUCUUUUAUGAUUUUUUUUUGUCUUUUUUCUUCCCCAUGUUACAAGUGUAGAAUAUCCAUUGUCUAUCAAAAAAUAAUCUCAACUAGAAAAUCAUAUUUUCCACAUUCAAUGGAGUUUACCCUUCUAACUACAUUUUCUUUAACCACAAGAUUCGAGCACGAGACCGUAUUCAAGACAUGUGAAAUCAAUUCCACUCAUCACAACAUAUUACAAUAAUGAUUAUAUAUAUAUAUAUAUAUAUAUAUAUAUAUAUAUAUAUAUAUUAUGAAAGGCUAGCUAAGAAAUAAAAAACAUUGGAUAGUUGGUAAACAAUAAUUACACGCAAUAUUUUUAUGUAACAUUUGUUGUAUGAACUAUAGGGACAAAUAUGAUGCAUAAAUGCAUUUUAGUGACAUCUAAUAAUUAUUUUAGUUUUAAUGAAGAAUUUCGUAUGACAAAAAAGUUAUUAAAAUCUAUUGAAUUGAUGUAAACAUUCCAUGGAUUUUUUGUUAUAUAAAGUGUUCAAACAAUUAUACAUUUGCUAUAUGCAAAGGUGAAAAUAAAAUGACUCAAAUUCUCAAAUUGGUUUAUAUUGUGAUCCUAUUUGUUUCCAUAUUGUUUGUUGCAGAAGCCGGUGCGACUAAGUUCAUUCUCAUUUUUUUAUCUUAUACAAAAUUUCUCAAUAAUUUUUAUUAAUAUUUCUUUAUUCUUAUUUUACAUUAUAGAACAAUGUGUUAGUGAUGCCGAUUGUCAAAUCAAAUUUCCGGGUCCCCGUCAACAUUUAUUGAGGUGCACACAGGGUAAUUGUGUGAUGUUAGUAGGUCAAGGUAAAAAUUAUUUCUCUAUUAUGUCUAAGACUUUAUUUUCCUUACUUGUUAUAAUAUUUUUACUCUUAUAAUUGUCUCAAAGUUUCACAUGCUUCUCCGACCUAGAAAUCUCUUUGACAACAUUAGAAGCAUGUUAAAUAUAUAUUUUUGAACAAAAACAAAUAUUUUCUUCAUUUAAAAAAACUAGUACAAGAGGUAUUAAAACAAUAAAAUAAAAUCUAAAACCCUAUAAUGGAGAAUCAUGUUAAACAUAUUAUGAAAUUAUUGUUAUGUUUGUUUCCUUGUGAAUGAUGUAGAUAUGUUUAAGGAGAAAUAUUAUCAAAGGUGCUUGAUAUAUAAUCUAAGAAAAUUAGAAUUGAGUAAUAAGUCUUGAAAAAAUUAAAAAAGUUUUUAUUGUUUUGGAAAAAUAUGCAAUUUAUAAAAUAACCUUGAAAUGAUUGGAUUUCACCAUAAUGAUGAAUAAAUAAAAGGCUUAAAUAUGUAUUUGAUCCUUGCAAUUAGGGGUCGUUUAAAAAUUGGUCCCUGUAAUCGCUAAUCCUGGCAAUUUACCGUUGCAUUGUUUAAUCAUUUAAAAUUUCGUCCCUCUCCCCACUUAAUCACUACCACGCCACAUGAAAUUCCAAUUUUACCCCUGGGUUUCCAAUUCUUUCUUCAAUAUUUUGUCAUCUUCUUAAGGGCAAAAUUGGAAUUUCAUGUGUGGCAGUGAUUGCCAUGUCAUCAAAUUAGUGACGUGGCAGUGAUUAAAUUGGUCAAAUGACGAAAUUUUAAAUGAUUAAUGAUUGCAAGGCUAGUUUGCAAGGAUUAACGAUGACAUGGACCAAUUUUUAAACGACCCCUAAUUGCAAGGAUCAAAUACAUAUUUAAGCCUAAAUAAAAUCCCAAUCCCUUCUAUUGCUAUGGAGAAUCAAUGUCUAAAGGUGAGGUAAUUCUAAGGUAAGUAAUGGCCUCUUACAAGGAUACAAAAAUAUAUUCAAUAUGUCUGUUUGCCGUGAUAAAAAAAAAAAACUAAUUUAUAGCUUAUAAGUUUAUAUGAUUAAAAAAUUCUUGUUUCUUAAUUGACAUUUCAUCACAAUUAUAGUUUAUCUUGAUAACUUAUAGUUUAUUUUUCAGACAUUAUUUGAAGUUACGUUUAAGCUAAAAAGUAUAUAUCUUAUCAUCUUUUGUCUCACUUUUACCCUCAUCACUUUAACUAAAAUUCAUUUUUACCCUUAGCAAUAAAUAGCUACAUUUAAAGAUAAAAUGCCAGGUUAAAUCAAACUUCAUAUUUCAAUGUCUAGUAAUAAAUAAAUAGUUACGUUUACUUAACAACAAAUGUUCGUUUAAGAAACAUUUAAAAUAAAUGUUACGUUUAAGAAGAAAAAAGAAUAUAUUUAUGUUUAAGAAAAGAAAAGGCUUGUCACAAUUAACUUUAUUUUGUUUAAUUUUUAUAAAGUAUAAAAAUUGAAAUCCAGAAGUCCUAGCUCAACUGGCAAAAUGCCGAAAUUGUUAGGUCGGAUGUCAUGACCGGGGUUCGAACCCCGGUACCUCCACUUGUGUGUGUGAGUUUAUAAUGGCUUUGCCAUUUCGUCUAUCUACAAAAAAAAAAAAAAAGUAUAAAAAUUGAAAUAAAAUAAAAUAAAUUUAAAAUAAGAUUUUAGGAAAUUUAUUAAUUUAAAAAUAAUAUAUAAAAGACAUUUUAAAUUAAUAAAUUUAAAUCAUCAAAUUUUAAAUAUCUUAAAUAUUAAUUGAUAUAAAUUUUAUUAAAAAUUACAAAUGUUCUUUUAUGUCAUUUUAUGUUGAUUAACUUGUUGAACCACUAAACUUAUCAAACAAUUUUAUUAGCUUAUCAGAUGAUUGUGGUAGCGAUGCUAUGAUUGAUUGUAUGUGUGUGACAUGUUACUUUACAUUUCUAUCCCACUUUAUAUGUGUAUGUGAAUCUUACCCCUUAUGUAUUGGUUAUAUAUGUUUUAGAUCCAUUUGAGAAGGAGCAUGUAGCAGAGGAUGAUGUAUUCCCUUCCACCGUUCAUGCAUAUCACGUGGAAUCCUAGCAAAGAUCCACAAACAUCCUUAAUUGAUGCUUAAAAUAAGAUGCAUUUCAUUUCAAAUAUAUUUGUAUGCUUAUGUUCAUGUUUUAAAUUACUUCGUAUUUUAAAUUGCUUCUUAUGCUUGUCUUCUAGAUGUUAGCUUUUGUAUUUCAACGAACUUCCAGAACACUUGAAGUGUCUCCUUGUUUUCCAAAGGAUGUCAGCUUCUUAUUUAUUUUUCAGUUUGAAAGGUUUCAACAUUGAACAUUGAAGGUGAGAAAAACACAAGAGAGAGAGGGGGGGCUUCUGAUGCAAUGAACAGAAUCAGAUAUGCAGCGGAAAAGAACAGAGCAGAGAAAAGAAAAGCGAGACACAAGCAAUUAUCCUGGUUCCUUCCACAAAUCGGAAGUAGUCCAGUCCCCAUUGCACUUCCAAGGAGAUUUCACUAAUAAUCACAAAGAUUACAAAUGCUCAAUACUCUCUAAGUAUGAGACUUUUCAAAAUGCUCAAGCACGCAGGAAAGAGUCUUCCAAUGCUCAAGCACUAAGCAAGAGUCUACUAAUGCUCAAGCACGCAGACGAGAGGCUUCUGUACGUUCAAACAAAAAUACAGAGAAAAUGUUUGACCUUGAACACUUGAUAUACAAUCAGUGGUGUUCACAAUAUAAUGCAAUAAAGACUCUAGACUUGUGAAUUUCUAAGAUGUAUCAAAUCAGUGCAGAAAUUCAAGGUGCUUUGUAGAAUCAAAUUUGACAGAGUUUUGGCGCUUUUAACUUGUGUUGAUCUCUAUCUACAAUCUUCAAGUCUUCACUCCUUUAUAUAGAGGUGUGAAAGAGACGUUGAGAUGAUUAGCACGUCUAAAGAGUCGUUGAGUUCCUUUGAUCAUCUACCAGUAAUCCUUUGCCUGAUUUGGGUGUAGUCCUUUGAAGAAUCAACUUCAAAUUCAUUCCCAUCUUGAAGGAACAUUUCUGCAGGCAGAGCUGUUGUCUUGUCUUGUAGCGUGACAAAAACAGAGUAGUGGAGGUAGUGGUUGUACACUUGUACUUUGUCAACUCUGAUAACGAAGGACAAGUACUCAGUGCUCUUCAAAUGACCGUUAAUACCUCCCUUUCAAUUCUUCGUUCUUCUUAGACGAGGUUGAAACAAGAAACAACUACUUUGAAUCUUCAGUUUAAAUUUACUGAACAAUUGUAGCUUCUAGUGAUGAUAUCGCUUCUGAUGAAAUCUUGCUUCUGAUGGUCUUCUGCUUCUGAUGGACUUCUGCUUCUGAUGACGUCAUUACUUCAGAAGCACUUUCAGAAGCACUUUAGCUUCAGACGCAGUUUUCUUCAGAUGCUUAAGAUUCCUUUGCUCUCCAUUGUUCUUCCAAGACCUAUUGAAAUUGAUUGACUUGCCUAUGGUCAUGUACACUUGAACAAUUAUUAGCAAUAACCAAUUGACAAUUUUUAAUACAUUGUUAUCAUCAAAACUCAUUAAGGUUUAUUGUGAAACACAUUUUGUUCCAACAAACACGACUUAUUUUCAUGUUUUUGCAUAUCCAGUGUAGGAACUUUAGGUUUUAAUUUGUUCCUCUUUCGAUAUCCAAUACCUUUAAGUUUGUUCGUACUAACACUAUAAAUCAUAUAUGCCAUUUUGGUUCUUUCUAUACCCCAUUAAAGAGAAACUCUUGGAAAGAAUAUUCAUAUUUUUCAGAGUUACACUUGCUAGGUACAACAGAUUGAGGCAGUGUUUAAAGAAUAAUUCUUGAGUGGACAUAAGAAUUUGAACCCUCUAUUUGGUUACAAAAAAAAAAUAAAAAUUGGACAUGCUAUAAUCAUUUAAAAAUUAAUGAUUAUUUAAUUGUUAUUUUUUCUACUUUUUUCUUUUUAUGUGUGUGCGACCAAAUAGAAGGUCCAAAUCUUUGUGUCCACCCAAGAGUUUCUCGUGUUUAAAACCUCGUUUUCAUUUUUAAAAUUCUCAAUCUCCUAGUUCAAGGCAACUUUCUUCUCAAGUUGGUUUUUAAAAUGUUUGCUAAGGAUGUUAUGUUAUUUGGUUUUACCUUGAACAUUCUUUAGCAAAUCUUUAACGGUAGAAACAAGUUCAUCUCUAGUGAGUUUAGAAGAUACCUCAUCAUCAAUGUCACUAUCAAAAUGUGAAUCAGGUCUAGAAGAUGUUUCCAUGAGUGAGAGAUUAGCUUCUUCAUCAUUUUCUGACUCUUCUUCAAGAUCCUCCUAUGUUGUCAUGAGACUUUUCUUGACCUUGUUUUUGAAGUUGUCCUUAUUUGAUUUUCAUUCUGGAGGUCAGGACAAAUAUGAUUUUAAGUAACCAUGUCUCUUGCAAUGAAAUCAGUUCUUCUUUCUUCUUCUUAAAGCUUGAACCUCUGUAAGGGAAAAUGCCUUUUCUCUGAACUCUGUCCCUCUCCUUCCAUAGAUGUUUAACUCUCCUUGUAAGGAAAGCCAUCUCAUCAUCGUCAUCCGCAAAUUCCUAUAGAGCUUCUUCUUCAACCUGAAGAGCUUUCACCAUUUUACCUUUAGAUUUAAUCGCUGUUGAUUUGAAUUUUGGUUUAGGGUCAUCAUGGUUUAAGCGCUUUCACCAUUUUUAUGACACAGUUAGAGUAUACGUCAAAGACCUAGCUCUGAUGCAAACAGAAGAUGAGAAAAACACAAUAGGGGGUGUUUAAUUAUGUUGGUCACUUUUUGAAUCUCUUUUUGUAAAAGUGGAUAAUAGAAAAUAGACAACAAAUAGGAGAGGAAAGUAAAAAAACAAGGGAGAGAGAGAGGGAGAGAGGGAGAGAGAGAGAGAUGACACGAUAAAUUUAUCUUGGUUCAAUCCAUAAUUCGGAGUUACUCCAUUCCCCUUGCACUUCAAAGCGAUUUCACUAUAAUCAACUAAUUAGAACAAAAAAAAUUAAGACAACCUAGUCUUAUAUUUCCCUGCAUCAACCUAGAAGAAUUCCUAAUCUCAGUCUAGAGAUUACAACAACAAGUUGUUUACAAAUUUACAAGCAACCCAAAGCAUUGAAUGUUGAACCAAAGUGGGUUUUACAUCAAUGUCUUUAAGAUUUUGAUGAUAACAAUUUAUGAAAGAACAAUUGGGUACUCUAAUGUGUGUUCAAUUGUGCAAGACCAUACAAUUAAAUUUUGAAGACUUAGAAGAUGGUCUGAAGAAAGGUCAAUAAAAAGUAAAAGCUUUGAUUAGAAGUAGCCUCAAGCCGUGAAGACUAUGAAGAAAACAAGCUCCGAUAUAAACAUAAUCUAAUGAAAGCAAGUUUGCAUGGACAUGUCAGUAGUCUAGUAGACUCUAAUCAAUUUUGUCGUCUUCUGAAGCAACGUCACAUUCAAUUUCUAAUCGCAUUGUUCGUCUUCUUCUGACCACGUGCAGAAAUAAACAAAGAAUUUCAAAGUCAAAGAGAAUUCAACUGAUCAUUCCAAAAGAAGUAAAAGAUCCCUCUAGUAAUAUUCAACAGAAUUAUCCUUAAAGGCAAAGUAUUCAAACACUGAUCAAAGCUUCGCAAGGAAAAAUUUAUGUGUUGGCACCUCUUCAAACAAUUACUCUUUUAUUCUCUCCUAUUUAAGGACCUGAGCAGUUAGAAGAACAAAAAUGAACAUCAUGUAAUUUUACAAGUUCCAAAACCCUGUAAAAUUAUGUAGCGCACAAACACUUAAAUAAAUACUUACAAACUUUCAUAUCUUAUAAUUUCUUAAGUAUCAGAAGUCAUGUAAGCUUAUAGUUUGUUUACCAUCCUCUUAGUACAAAUUUCAAACAAUCAAACUUUAUUUGUAAACUCUGAUUGUAGAAGUCCUCUUAUGUGAGGCAAGGAAAUUUUAGACUUGUGUGUCUAAGUAAUUGUAAUGAUGUGUGAUUUUAGUGAAAAAUCUCUUGAAAGUUCAAGGGGACUAAACUAACAUCGAAUAAUGGGGGAAUCUAGAUAAUUGCUUAUGUUGUCUCUCUCUGAUUAUCUUGCUUGCUCUGUUUUAUUUAAACUCUUGGAACUUUUUUUCCAGGAAAAGCCAACAUAUUCAACCUCUCCUUCUUUUGUUUUUUUCACCUUCAGUUAGUACCUGAGCUCCUGGUAUGUUGGUUCAACACUUAACCGUGUAACAAAUAUAAGAUCCUGAGUAAAACAUGUAUGUCGAUUCAACACUUAACCGUGUAACAAAUAUAAGAUCAUGAGUAAAACGUGCCUAAGCCCACUGCCACUUCCCGUUCCAAUCAUGUUGUGUCUCAUAAAUAAUUAAUAAAAAAAAUUAAUAACAUCAUAUCCUAAAAAUUGGGUCGUUACAAAAAGCAUCAUUGAUGGAAAUGAAUGGUUGAUAUGCUGACUGCAUUUAUUCAAGAAUAUCUCAACAUUUAAUAAAACAUUAAGAGAAAAGGAUUCCUCAAGCAACAAUCGUCAUGUUUCAACUCUAUAUAAGACCAAGUUUAAUUGAAGAAGGUUAAUUUCUUGCAUAACAUCUGAACAUACUCACGUAUAUACAAAAUCUAACAUGUUCAUAUACUAUUGUAAUUAUAUACAUACUUGUUCAUAGUAUAUAACUUGUCUAAAAACCGAUCAAGAAAACCAUAAUAGAUCACUCAAAGUGUAUUGAGCUUAAUUUGUGUUUACUACUCUUAAAGUUUAUGUGAACACUACCUUUUGUAAUCAAAAAGUGUUGUUGUAAAUUUCUGGAUUGAGAUUAGGAAGCCCUCUAGGUUGAAGUAAGGAAAUCUAGGACUAGAUUGUCUUAGUACUGUUGUAAUCAGGAUUUGAUUAUAGUGAAAAAUUUCUCGGAUGUAUGAAGGGACUGAACUAACUCUGGGUUGUGGAUGAACAAGAAUAAUCUGCUUUUGUGUCUUCUCUUUUCCCUUAUCUGUUUACUUUGCGCUUUUAUCUCAUCAAUCAAAAAGACAUUAAAAAAACCUAAACAAUUCAAACCCCCCAUUUCUUGUGUUUUCUCACUUUCAAUUGCCAUCAAAGCAAGGUCUCAAUGGAAACACUUAACCGUGUUAGAGAAAAAUAUAUCUUCAUAUGUGUCCUCAUCCACCUCGAUUUAUAAUGGCUUGGAAGAAGUUUGGGAAUGGGAGUUGAUGUUCCGGGUAUGAACAAGAGCACAACAACAGUUAAUUGCUGCUAGCAUCGGCGGCGAAGCUAGCCAAAUUUUUUUGAGGGGACCAAAUAUAUAGAAAAAAUAAAAAAUACAUUUAUGAAUAUUAUCUUAAUAAUUUUCGUUCUUGACAAAGUUCUAUGUGUAUUACUAUAGGGACUGAAAGUGCCAAAACAAGAAAAACAAAUGUACAAAUCAAUUGUUUAUGUGUUGUCUUUCAUGUUUGUAAAAAAAAAAAUGUUUCUACUAAAAUUUUUCACAAAUAAAUUUAUUUUGGGUAUCUAAAUCUAUAUUAUGAGAGUGUUGAUUGGCUUGUUAAUUACUGUUUGUCCUUGGAAUCUUAUAGUUGUUAUGUGGUGGAGUUUCCUCCUAAUGAUUACCGUAGCUUACUUUUUGAUGAUUUUCUAGGGCUGGCAUGUCUAGGAGUGUUCGACUAACUUCUUUGUUUUGUUUUUUCUCCCCGGACUUAGACCCUCUUUUGUACCAAAAAAAAAAAAAACACAAAAGUACACUAACUUAUCAAAAACAUUAAACAAAUAAAAAAAAUGGUAGCCAAGGCCACCCCAAGGCCCAAGCUAACACUAUGCUUCGCCCCGGCUAGCAUAACAAUACUUAACUGUUGUUGGCACAACGAUAGUUAUUUGCUGUUGGUAGCGAACGUCAGUUAACUACCUUUGGGAUUAUUUUGGUCUUUUAAUGGGCAAGAGAGCAAUUUUGUGUGUGACAAUAGCAAUUUUCUAAAUUGAAUUAACAUUUAUUUGUUCCUCAAAUUAUCCUUUCAUGGAAAAAAGAGGCCAAACAAAAGUCAAAAUAUAGAAAAACGAAUGGACAUCAGCCUUUUUCUAUUUUUGUUGAGCAAAGCGGCAAUGACGCGGGAAGCAAUGGUAAGUCAUGCAUGAGUUAACAAAGAAACAUUCCUUUCAAUACGUAACUCAUGCAUGCCAACAUGCAUGCUUUGUUUUCUACUACCUAUAUAUAAAUAUUCUUCUUCAAAUGUCAUUAUUUUAUAUGAUCUUCCUUUCAAUAACUUAAGAACAUGUCAUAAGUUCGACCAAACAGUCUCAUAAGUGUUUAUGUCAGUAGAGUAGUUCAUAUAAUUAAAUCUAAACAUCCCCUUAGGUUUCUUUCUUUUAAUAUACAUUUGUUUUUACGUCGAAAUUUUCAGAAUGAUGGAGGCUUUUGUGUAUGUGUUUUUGGCACUUAUCUUGUGUGGUUGUGCAAAUAGCAAAGAAUGCAUAAAUAAUUUGCCUCAAUCGCAUACGUUGCGAACUGAAUUAAUGGCAUCAAAGAAUGAGACAUGGAAGAAAGAAGUGAUGAUGUAUCAGUCUCAUGUUCAUGUGACACCAUCCGAUGAAUCGGCUUGGCAAGAAAUGAUUCCAAAGGAGAUGUUCUUAACACAAGAAAACCAACGUGAUUGGGCUGCUAAGUAUAGGGAAAUGAAGAAUGCCGAUGUGUCUAAGCCACCUGUUGGAUUUCUCAAAGAAGUUCCACUUGGGGAUGUGAGGUUGCUUGAAGGUUCUAUCCAUGCUCAAGCACAGAAGACUAAUUUGGAGUAUUUGUUGAUGUUAGAUGUUGAUAGGUUGAUUUGGAGUUUCAGGAAGAUGGCUGGUUUACCGACUCCUGGUGCACCUUAUGGUGGAUGGGAGAAACCAGAUCAGGAACUCAGAGGACAUUUUGUUGGUUAGUUUUAGUUCAUUCGUUGCCUAUUUUAUGCUCUUUGUUAGUAUUUGUAUCAUGGUGUUUAGUAAUUGUGUAAUGAAUUCUAGGUUGCAAUGUGAGCGCAACAUUGCUAUUCAUGACCAUUUGAAUCAUUGUUGUCAAAAUCUCGACUUAAUUUCUAAAAUUCAAGAUUUUGCGACUUUAUUCACCUUCAACGACUCAAAUCCAUAGCAGAAUCCUAAAAUGGGUGAAAUCCUAGUAAAAUCGCACGAAAACGUGAAAUACAUACAAAAUCGCAGGAUUUUAAUGGGCUUUUAAGAAUUGUGUCCAUUUUUUUUAGUCAUUUAUGUAUAAGUAUUUAUGACUAUAUACAAUUUAUAACAUAUAUUUAACAUUAUUUUUGCUUUGGUAAAACUCAUCGAUUUUGAUUGCGAUUUUACGAUUUCUUAUAUCGAUUCUACAAAAGUAAUCGAGUAAAAUCCUUCGAUUGUGAUUUCGAUUUUUCGAUUUUGCUCUUCCCUUUCGACCUGAAGCAAAAUCUCGAUUUUGACAACCUUGAUUUGAACUACUUUUAGAAGAUCUGCAACCUCUGUUGUUAGGAAGACAAAAGUGUCAAACACAAAUGAUAUAAAAACAUGUUGAUUGUCAGAACGCGUUUUUAUCAUGUUUGACCACUUUCUUUGAAGCAGCAUUGAGGGAUGCUUGUUCCGCAGUAAAAGUCCAGGUAUCAAUCCCACAAGAGUGGAAAUCCCAGUCAAGUCCACAUAUGCACGUUUCCCUCCUACCCAUCCGUACAUAAGAGCAUAUAUUGUCCUAGAUGUCGAUCUUUGAUUCAAUUUUUCAAAAGAUUCAAAAGCGAAUAUCUUUCCUGCAAUGUUUCUCCACUUUUCUGAAUGGUAAUUUUUAGUCAGAUCUUUUAGAAGAUAAAAAACUUGGUUUGGAUAAAAAUUGCAGCUAUAUAUAAUAAUUUUCCCUUCUCGAUGUGUUGCUACCUACCCCCUCCCCCAAACAAAUGUUCACAAUCUUUUGGAAAGCUAAACUUUUAGACUUUUCAAAUGCAAGGGUAAUAAUGAAGAUUUCCUUGGAAUCCAUGUAUUAUAAGUUUUUGUAAUGAAUUGAACUUGUAGUAGUGUAGACAGACACUAUUACACACAAAAUGCAUGUUCUGUUCUGCAAUUCAGUUUUGAAGGUUAAUUUAAAAAUUUUAUAAUAUUAUUUCUUUACAAUGUGAAGGGCAUUACUUAAGUGCAACAGCUCAAAUGUGGGCCAGCACAAACAACAAUAUCGUGAAGGAUAAAAUGUCGGCUCUUGUUUCCGGUCUGUCCGCCUGUCAGGAAAAAAUUGGAACGGGAUAUCUGUCUGCAUUUCCAACCGAGUUUUUUGAUCGAAUUGAAAAUCUUGAAUAUGCAUGGGCUCCAUAUUACACCAUUCACAAGGUAUAAGUAAAACUAGAUUUUGAUUAUGCAAGUACUUUUGGCCUUAAUGUUGUCCGAUCUCAGUUAUUCGACUUUGACAGAUCUUGGCUGGCCUUUUGGAUCAAUAUACAAUAGCUGGAAACCCUCAAGGUCUGAAAAUGGUUACAUGGAUGGUCGAUUACUUUUACAACAGAGUGAUGAAUGUAAUACAAAAGUUCACUGUAAAUAGACACUAUCAAUCCCUGAAUGAGGAAGCUGGAGGAAUGAAUGAUCUCCUUUACAGAUUAUAUAGCUUAACGGUAGGUUAACUAGUUCAUGUAGUUUCUUCAGCUCUAUUGUUGAUUCAUGUGUUCAUAUGAUAUUCUUGACUUGUUGAUUAUGUUGCUUUCAAGUAUAGAAAUUAACUGAUAUGGAUUUUAAUGCAUAGUUUAUUGAUUUUAUAAGCAUGUCAUUCAAAGCUACCACGUUAUAGCGCCUGGUUAUCGCUGUAAACUUCAAUUCUAAAAUAAACCUGUAAUGAUAUGCUAUGUGCAGAGGGAUCCAAAGCAUCUGGAGUUGGCGCACCUUUUUGACAAGCCGUGCUUUUUAGGGGUGCUUGCAGUACAGGUAACUCAUCAAUAUUUGUUACGCAUAAUUCUUGUAAUGCAUAUCGUCUCGUAUAGUUAUGGCUGUAUUUCAAGAGGUUCCAGCUGUUUUUCAAAGUAAUUUUCAAUUCGCACUUAUAAGCUAUACCUAAUGUUAGCUUUCAGAUGAGCAAUAUGUAAUGUGCAUAACAUAAACUAUAUACCAGAAAGGUUACAUUUACACGUAAAAAUUAAUUAUAGCCUUAUUUCAACUUCAACUGUUAUGACACGGAUCAUGUGAAGAGGAAAAUUAAGACAACCAAUGUAUCCUCGUUUUAAAUGCGUAUAUAAAUUAAGUUUCCUCUUAUCAGUUCAGAAAUUGUAUUUAUUAUUAUGACUGGUUCCAAACAUUAUUUUUAAAAUUCUAUUUUUUUUCCUGUAGGGUAAUGACAUAGCUGAUUUUCACGCUAAUACACAUAUCCCAAUUGUUGUUGGAGCCCAAUUGCGGUAUGAACUCACAGGUGAUUUACAUUAUAAGGUGAGUUCCUUAUGCACAUUGUAGAAUAUAUUUCACUAACUUCGAAGAAAAUUAUUUUCAUUCGCUAUUUAUUUCUGUAGUAUCAUUUAUUUAAUUUUUUAAUUGCAAAAUUUAGUGGUAUAACUAAAUAUUUGUUAUUGUGUGUUAGGAUAUUGGGCAAUACUUUAUGGACAUUGUAAACUCUUCUCACGCCUAUGCAACAGGAGGAACAUCAGUCGGCGAGUUCUGGUACUAAGAUGUCAGCAUUUUAACUUUCAUUUUUUUUUUCUUCAUAUGCAUUGAAAAUUAUCCAUCGAAUUUGUUUUCGUAUAAGGACAUUAAGUAGAAAGUUUCUGUACCUCUAUUUUAAGAUAAUCAGUUCGAAACAUCUUUCUGAAAAAAUUCUUGACUUCCAUUUUUGUGUAGGAGAAAUCCAAAGAGAAUAGCUGACAACCUAAAAUCAGCAGAGACCGAAGAAUCUUGCUCAACUUACAAUAUGUUGAAGGUACAAGCAAUCACUCAUUAUUCUUUUAAUUCAUCAUGUAAUGCUACGGAAGUUAAAAAUGCGUAUUGUGUUUUUGAUUUACUAUUUGAUAUUCAGGAAUGAUUCUUAGUUUAUUUCUGUUGAAGUAUUUAUGUUGAAAGAUAAUGAUUUCAGGUUUCGCGGCACCUGUUCAGAUGGACCAAAGAAGUCACUUACGCAGAUUAUUAUGAGCGUGCCUUAACGAAUGGUGUACUCAGCAUUCAAAGAGGAACAGAUCCUGGAGUGAUGAUUUAUAUGCUUCCUCUCGGCCUUGGUGUUUCCAAAGCACAAACGUAUUGGAAAUGGGGAACGCCAUUUGAUUCUUUCUGGUGCUGCUAUGGAACAGGUUUGUAUUUGUUUUAGUUUUUCUAAAAUUGACAAAUAAUAUUAAACAAACAAGUAUUUGAAAUAUGAGACUUAACAUGAGACGGAGGGAGUAAUAGUCUUCGCAAACUCCUCUAUUCUUUUAUCUGUGUGCUGUUCUAAAUUUUUUUUUUUUUGUGAUUAGGAAUUGAAUCAUUCUCAAAGCUGGGAGAUUCUAUCUAUUUUGAAGAAGAAGGGAAACAUCGUAGUCUAUACAUCAUUCAGUACAUAUCAAGCUCAUUUAAUUGGAAUUCUGGAACUGUCAAUAAAAAAAAUCAUAAUCGGAAAUCUGGUCAACUUUUGCUCACUCAGACAGUUGUUCCAGCUUCUUCGUCGGACCCUUUCCUACGAGCGACAUUUACCUUCUCUCCUACUGCGGUACCUAUUACAUUUUCUUAUUGCAUCUAAUUUAGCCACAUAUUAAUCUUAGGUUCCUAGUUCAUACCAAAGUUGGGUUUCUGAACUAUACAUUCCUUCUACGACCUAUCAUUUCAAAACUUGAAAUGUGCAGGCAAUUGGGACUUCGUCAACAUUGAACUUUCGUAUACCAUCAUGGACUCUUGCAAAUGGUGCCAAGGCACUAUUGAAUUCUGAAACUUUACCUCUGCCAGCUCCAGGUCUGAAUCUAUCUUUAUUUCCCUUAUCUCAUGCGGAUAGAUGCUAGAAUGUUUAAUCACCUAAAAAAGAAGACGAAAAAGAACAAGCUCUUACGCCAUUCCUUUAAGUUAGAACAGGAAUGGUUAACACUUGAAACAUUAAAGUAAUAUUUACUGUCAUGAUCUCUAGGGAAUUAUUUGUCAAUCACACGACCAUGGAGUGCGAGUGACAAGCUGACCCUUCAAUUGCCUCUUACCAUCAGAACAGAAGCCGUAAAAGGUAGCUUCUUGCUUCACAUGAUAAUCAAUGAAAGAAUAUGCUGAUUAUCAAUACCCUUCCUUUACUGACAUGUGUUUUCAAAUUAUAAUGCAGAUGACAGACCUGAAUUUGCAUCACUUCAAGCCAUUCUUUACGGACCAUAUCUUCUCGCCGGUCACACCACCAGCAUUUGGGACAUUAAAGGCGUUACUAACAAAGCUGUUGCAGACUGGAUUACUCCAAUUCCAUCCAAUUACAGUAGUCAACUAGUUUCUUAUUCACAAGACAUCAACAAAUCAACUCUUGUUAUAACCAACUCAAAACAAUCACUUACGAUGGAAAUAUUACCCGGACCUGGCACUGAAAAUGCUCCUCAUGCUACCUUUAGACUUAUCCCAAAAGACGCUGACGGUAAAACUGUGAUGUUAGAACCAUUUGAUCUUCCUGGAAUGACUGUAAGUCACCAAGGACCAGAGAAACCUCUUAUCAUUGUAGAUUCUUCCCAUGGCGGGCCUUCUUCGGUUUUUCUUGUGGUACCGGGCUUGGAUGGACG